AUCGUUACUGUAAAUCUUUGAAAAGGUAACUCUUCGCAUCUUUCUAACCCCACUAAUCCCGUGGCCUAACAGUUCACCCCACCAUAAAAGAAAGAAAGUCCCUCCUCAUUACGUUUCAAGUCCCCCAGUCUACAUCCCAUCUAGAGAGAGAGAGAGAGAGAGAGAGAUGGAACCACCGGCGGCACAGUCGAUGAGUUACCAAGAAGAUGAACAGGACAGAAUCACUGACCAAUGUUGCUCUUGCUGCUUUGACUGCUCAGACAGCUGCUUUGAGUACUUCUGCUGUUGAAAUUGGAAACUUCUGGUUUUAGUUUCUCUGAAAUUUUAGUAUCAAUUUUGUGGGUUGUUCUGUCUGUCAGUGAUGGAAGCCAUCAGCUUAGAAACCAAGCUAGAUCUAUCAAGUAUCGACCAUGUCUCUUGUUAACCAAACUUCAAAUUGAGCCCAUGAGAAAGUUUUACUCUCA